rnacentral:siRNA from 1 species
CCGGCUCAUGAGUGCUACA